rnacentral:ncRNA from 1 species
AAAGGUUCCCUCAGCACGGUCGGAAAUCGUGCGAAGAGUGCAAAGGCAUAAGGGAGCUUGAUUGCGAGACAUCACAGGUCGAGCAAGGACGAAAGUCGGGCUUAGUGAUCCCGGUGGUUCCGAGUGGAAGGGCCAUCGCUCAACGGAUAAAAGCUACCCCGGGGAUAACAGGCUUAUCUCCCCCAAGAGUCCACAUCGACGGGGAGGUUUGGCACCUCGAUGUCGGCUCGUCUCAUCCUGGGGCUGGAGUAGGUCCCAAGGGUUGGGCUGUUCGCCCAUUAAAGAGGCACGCGAGCUGGGUUCAGAACGUCGUGAGACAGUUCGGUCCCUAUCCGUCGCAGGCGUAGGAAAUUUGAGAGGAGCUGUCCUUAGUACGAGAGGACCGGGAUGGACGCACCUCUGGUGCACCAGUUGUCACGCCAGUGGCACAGCUGGGUAGCUAUGUGCGGAAUGGAUAAGCGCUGAAGGCAUCUAAGCGCGAAGCCAACCUCAAGAUAAGAUUUCCCACUUCAUAGAAGGUAAGAUCCCAGAAAGACUAUCUGGUUGAUAGGCCCAGGGUGUAAGUGCAGCAAUGCAUUCAGCUGAUGGGUACUAAUAGAUCGAGGACUUGACCAA